rnacentral:rRNA from 2 species
AGCGGCAGACGGGUGAGUAACGCGUGGGAAUCUACCUUAAGCUACGGGAUAACAGAGAGAAAUUUCUGCUAAUACCGUAUGUGGCCUAUGGGCGAAAGAUUUACCGGCUUAAGAUGAGCCCGCGUUGGAUUAGCUAGUUGGUGGGGUAAAGGCCUACCAAGGCGACGAUCCAUAGCUGGUCUGAGAGGAUGAUCAGCCACACUGGGACUGAGACACGGCCCAGACUCCUACGGGAGGCAGCAGUGGGGAAUAUUGGACAAUGGGCGGAAGCCUGAUCCAGCCAUGCCGCGUGAGUGAAGAAGGCCUUAGGGUUGUAAAGCUCUUUCACCGGUGAAGAUAAUGACGGUAACCGGAGAAGAAGCCCCGGCUAACUUCGUGCCAGCAGCCGCGGUAAUACGAAGGGGGCUAGCGUUGUUCGGAUUUACUGGGCGUAAAGCGCGCGUAGGCGGAUAGAUAAGUCAGAGGUGAAAUCCCGGGGCUCAACCCCGGAAUUGCCUUUGAUACUGUUUAUCUUGAGUGCAGAAGAGGUAAGUGGAAUUCCGAGUGUAGAGGUGAAAUUCGUAGAUAUUCGGAGGAACACCAGUGGCGAANGCGGCUUACUGGUCUGCAACUGACGCUGAGGCGCGAAAGCGUGGGGAGCAAACAGGAUUA